rnacentral:rRNA from 1 species
UACGUAGGGUGCAAGCGUUAAUCGGAAUUACUGGGCGUAAAGCGUGCGCAGGCGGCUUUGCAAGACAGAUGUGAAAUCCCCGGGCUUAACCUGGGAACUGCAUUUGUGACUGCAUGGCUGGAGUGCGGCAGAGGGGGAUGGAAUUCCGUGUGUAGCAGUGAAAUGCGUAGAUAUGCGGAGGAACACCGAUGGCGAAGGCAAUCCCCUGGGCCUGCACUGACGCUCAUGCACGAAAGCGUGGGGAGCAAACAGG